rnacentral:rRNA from 1 species
GACAGAGGCCCCGAGCGUUAGGCGGAAUCACUGGGCUUAAAGCGUGUGUAGGCGGACCGGUAAGUACCUUGAGAAAUCCCACGGCUCACCCGUGGAACUGCUGGGUAUACUGCCGGUCUCGGGCCAACUAGGGGCAACUGGAACAAGCGGUGGAGCGGUGAAAUGCGUAGAUAAUCGCUUGGAACGCCGGAAGGUGAAACAGGUUGCUGGGGUUGUGCC